rnacentral:misc_RNA from 1 species
UCAACCCUCAAGCUCUGCUUGGUAUUGAGUCUAUGUCAGUGAUGGCAGGCUUUAAAGUUAGUGGCGGUGCCACUGGGUCCUGAACGUAGUAAUACCUUUCGUUACAGGUUCUCGGUGUGUUGCUGUCGAUACCCCAAAUUUUUCUAU